rnacentral:lncRNA from 1 species
GAUUGAUAGGUAGUAGGGUUCUACGUAGUGGCUGGUGGCCUUAUGCCUACCCGCACCCUAGGACCGUCGCGACGGCCCGCCGGAACGGGGCGGGGGUCGUGAUAAAGCUUGGUAUCAGAGCAAAGGUUAAAGAAGAGUCUUGUCAGAGCAAUAGGGUGAGUCAGGAUUAAGUAUAGGAUUAUACUAUGGAGCAUAGGAUUUUUCUGUAUGUUAUUUUAUGAGUCAUUUACAAUUCAAUAAAAUAUAUUUGGGGAUGAGACUUAAGAGUUCUUUUUUUUUGACUCUUUUAGAGACAUAUAAAGAAUACCUCCAAGGAGAGGAUCUGCUCGUCCUGGAAGGAGGAUGGAGCCAGAUAUAGCAUUGGAU